GUCUGCGACCUUAGAAAGGCCACAGAGCACUGCUUUGGGGGGAAGGUCUGGCAUUCCAGCCCAUCCCAUCUGUUUAAUUUGAGAGCCUGUUGUGUAUGAGGAUUUCUGCUUUGUUUUUCCUUAGCAGAGCUGAUCUUUAUCAGGAUGCAGGAGUUAUUUUGAGCAGUUUAAGGGACAUCUGGAGGAGGCACAAACAGUGGAGCCUCUGAAGAGGGAAUCUGGGAUCCGAGGACCAAGUCCUCGGCGAAUCUGGGCACUGGUUGGGGAUUCUGGGACCCUCUGGAGGAAGAAAAGGGGAUUUGGAUUCAGCAGCAGCAGCAGAGGAAGACCCGGAAGAACAUGCCAGGGUCUAACAAGGCAAGAAAAUGCAGAAGAGUUUACGGAAAGUGAGAGAGAGGAAGCUGCGGUGGACUUGUGCUUGGACAGAUGAGUAGGGUUAGUGAAUGGACAAGAUACUCCACUUUCAUGGAUCCCAAACUGGAAAUAAUUGAUCAUGCACUACGUUUAUGGUUUUGCAAGAAGUCCAAAGGCAGAACUCCAAACAGCAUUUUCCAGCUUAACCCUCUGAUCCUGCACCAAAAGAAUGGCCAGGGGAUGCAGAUUUAUGUGUUUAAAGUUAAAAUAAAAUAUUUAAGGCAUCAUA